rnacentral:rRNA from 1 species
UACGUAGGGGGCGAGCGUUGUCCGGAUUUAUUGGGCGUAAAGAGCGUGUAGGCGGCCAGGUAGGUCUGCUGUGAAAACUCGAGGCUCAACCUCGAGACGUCGGCGGAAACCAUCUGGCUAGAGUCCGGAAGAGGAGAGUGGAAUUCCUGGUGUAGCGGUGAAAUGCGCAGAUAUCAGGAAGAACACCCGUGGCGAAGGCGGCUCUCUGGGACGGUACUGACGCCGAGACGCGAAAGCGUGGGGAGCAAACAGG